CGCACGGGUGAGUAACACGUGAAUAAUCUACCUCCGAGUGGGGAAUAACUGAGAGAAAUCUUAGCUAAUACCGCAUAACACUUACGAGUCAAAGCAGCAAUGCGCUUGGAGAGGAGUUCGCGGCCGAUUAGCUAGUUGGCGGGGUAAUGGCCCACCAAGGCGAUGAUCGGUAUCCGGCCUGAGAGGGCGCACGGACACACUGGAACUGAAACACGGCCAG
rnacentral:rRNA from 1 species